UACGUAGGGCGCAAGCGUUGUCCGGAAUUAUUGGGCGUAAAGAGCUCGUAGGCGGUCUGUCACGUCUGCCGUGAAAACCCGAGGCUUAACCUCGUGGCUUGCGGUGGAUACGGGCAGACUAGAGGUAGGUAGGGGAGAACGGAAUUCCCGGUGUAGCGGUGAAAUGCGCAGAUAUCGGGAGGAACACCGGUGGCGAAGGCGGUUCUCUGGGCCUUACCUGACGCUGAGGAGCGAAAGCAUGGGGAGCGAACAGGG
rnacentral:rRNA from 1 species